AGCGAACGCUGGCGGCAGGCCUAACACAUGCAAGUCGAACGAUCCUUCGGGAUAGUGGCGGACGGGUGAGUAACACGUGGGAACGUGCCCUUUGGUUCGGAACAACUCAGGGAAACUUGAGCUAAUACCGGAUGUGCCCUUCGGGGGAAAGAUUUAUCGCCAUUGGAGCGGCCCGCGUCUGAUUAGCUAGUUGGUGGGGUAAAGGCCCACCAAGGCGACGAUCAGUAGCUGGUCUGAGAGGAUGAUCAGCCACAUUGGGACUGAGACACGGCCCAAACUCCUACGGGAGGCAGCAGGGGGGAAUCUUGCGCAAUGGGCGAAAGCCUGACGCAGCCAUGCCGCGUGAAUGAUGAAGGUCUUAGGAUUGUAAAAUUCUUUCACCGGGGACGAUAAUGACGGUACCCGGAGAAGAAGCCCCGGCUAACUUCGUGCCAGCCGCCGCCGUAAUAC
rnacentral:rRNA from 1 species